rfam:Rheinheimera sp. F8 genome.
UUGUUUACAACGCUGACGUGUCAGUGUCAGACAAAUCAGGCCACGACCAUGUGUCGCCAUAAAAUUGACCGCAUCCGGCGUGACAUAUUCUGCCGCCAUCACCA